GUCCAUGGCCAUGCCACCCUGAACAUGCCCGGUCUCAUCUGAUCUCAGAAGCUAAGCUGGGUUGAGCCUAGUGAGUAUUUAGAUGGGAGACCACCUAGGAAUACCAGAUGCUGUAGGCA
rnacentral:rRNA from 1 species